UCCAGACUCCUACGGGAGGCAGCAGUGGGGAAUAUUGGGCAAUGGGGGAAACCCUGACCCAGCGACGCCGUGUGAGGGAAGAAGGUUUUCGGAUUGUAAACCUCUGUCCUUGGUGACGAUAAUGACGGUAGCCAAGGAGGAAGCCACGGCUAACUACGUGCCAGCAGCCGCGGUAAUACGUAGGGGGCAAGCGUUAUCCGGAUUCACUGGGUGUAAAGGGAGCGUAGACGGCGACGCAAGUCUGGAGUGAAAGCCCGGGGCCCAACCCCGGGACUGCUCUGGAAACUGCGUCGCUGGAGUACGGGAGGGGCAGGCGGAAUUCCUGGUGUAGCGGUGAAAUGCGUAGAUAUCAGGAGGAACACCGGCGGCGAAGGCGGCCUGCUGGACCGUGACUGACGUUGAGGCUCGAGAGCGUGGGGAGCAAACAGGAUUAGAUACCCCAGUA
rnacentral:rRNA from 1 species